GGUUCAAACCCUAGCCUAUCCUCCACCUACUUCCUCCCUGCGCCGCCACUCUCUUUCGUUUUGCCUCUCCGGCCGCUCGCGCCGCGCGCUACAACCGUCGUCGUCGACCACGUCCGUCUCCGGCCACCCGCAGCAGUCCGCGUCCGUCCCCGAUCAUCACACCGACACCCAAGGCUGCGCCUCCGCGUCCUUGCCUCCACCCCGACGAAGCCCAGCCCCGACGGCCGCUCCGCCGGCCUGCAAGCCGGCGCGGCAUGGCCUGCAGCUCGACUUCGAGCGCGACCGCGGCUCCCUACGGCGCUUCUUCCGGUGCCGUCCCGGACGUCCUCGUUUCCGAUCGCGUCGGCCGGCGUCAAGGCUUUCACCAUCGGCCGCAGCUCGUCCCGGGCGUCCCCUCGCUCGUCCUCGCCGCAUGUCUCCGCCAUCGCUCAAGUUCGUCACCAUUGUCUUCCUUUGCGUCGCCCAGGUUCAAGGAGUGGCCUUUCUGCACCUCAACUUGGCUAUCGAUCGUCUGCGUAUUCACGUUCACCACCAGCAUGUCGACAACUCUUUGCUGAUACUGCCUUCGUCCGUCAGUCUCUGUCAGCGUUGUGCAAAGGCUGGACUGCGUCUUCAUUUGAUUCAAAUAAAACCAGCUAUUCCACUUUAACAUGAUCCGAUCUGCAGUCUAGUGCCGGAUCUGCGUCGUCUAAUCGUUGCGGCUGGCCGGCCACAUGGUCCAGGUCGUCUUCUUGGUUCGGCUUAUGAAGGGUCGCAGCUGCAGCUCAUCAUAUUCUUGCAGUGGCUCAUCUGCUGGGUCCCGCCGUCAGCGCCGCAUCUGCAGUUCACCAUCCCAGUCAGCAUCCAAUCAGUCUGGGUCCCGUUUGUCAGUCUCCUAGGUUAGCUGCUGCCAGGUGAGAAAACUCCCAACCUUAUCUCUGUUUUGCUGAAAUUCCAGAAAAUAUCAUAUUCUCGCAUAAAUCAUAUCUCUCAAAUCCGUGGCUCUAAAUAAAAUGUUUUAUAUAUGAAAAUUGUUUAGUAAAACAUGUAGAACAUUAAUAUGCCAUCCAUAUGCCUGUUUGCAUCUCGCAUCAUGUCGCGUGUUGAU